rnacentral:rRNA from 1 species
GAUUAGCUAGUUGGUAGGGUAAAGGCCUACCAAGGCGACGAUCGGUAGCUGGUCUGAGAGGAUGACCAGCCACACUGGAACUGAGACACGGUCCAGACUCCUACGGGAGGCAGCAGUGGGGAAUAUUGGACAAUGGGGGCAACCCUGAUCCAGCAAUGCCGCGUGUGUGAAGAAGGCCUGAGGGUUGUAAAGCACUUUCAGUGGGGAGGAGGAUUGGUUGGUUAAGAGCUGAUUAAUUGGACGUUACCCACAGAAGAAGCACCGGCUAACUCCGUGCCAGCAGCCGCGGUAAUACGGAGGGUGCGAGCGUUAAUCGGAAUUACUGGGCGUAAAGGGUGCGUAGGUGGUUAGAUAAGUUAUCUGUGAAAUCCCUGGGCUCAACCUGGGCAGGUCAGAUAAGACUGUUUGACUCGAGUAUAGGAGAGGGUAGUGGAAUUUCCGGUGUAGCGGUGAAAUGCGUAGAGAUCGGAAGGAACACCAGUGGCGAAGGCGGCUACCUGGCCUGAUACUGACACUGAAGCACGAAAGCGUGGGGAGCAAACAGGAUUAGAUACCCUGCGUAGUCCACGCUUGUAAACGAUGUCAACUAGUUGUUGG